ACCCGCAGUCGGAACCUGUGGACAGCCAGGAUCACUUCUCGACAGAGCCGGGAACUCCAAGGAGGACUCCAGGUCGGGAAGCACCUGUGCCGCUGGAGCAGCAGCUGGGGAAACCGGUGAGUCCGUGGCAAGGGCCGUGUAGCGAUUGGAGAGGCUCAAGCCGGGAUUCCAAACCCCGACCAAUCUCCUCCUACUCCCGCGGACGAUAACCUCUUCAUCCAACUGCUGCUUUGGAGUUGAGCACGAAGAGGGCCGUGGACCAGUGGAUCGAUCCCAAACAACUGUGUCAUAGUAGGCAGCGCUGAGCGAGGCCAGGCGCUUGUGCUGACUACAUGCCACGUCCAUAAGUUUGGAAAUAAGUCCUUCUUUCUCCUGUAACUCCGCAGAGAGCCGGCGAACAUCGUCAUGCAGCUUUUGAAAAUAAACAGC